CGUCUAUAUACGUAUAGCAUAUCAAUAAGCGGAGGAAAAGAAACUAACUAGGAUUCCCUUAGUAACGGCGAGUGAAGCGGGAAGAGCUCAAAUUUGAAAUCUUCAAGGUUCUACCUUGACGAAUUGUAGUUUAAAGAAGUGUUUUCUGUUGGAGUUUUGGUAAAAGUUCUUUGGAAUAGGACAUCAUAGAAGGGUGAGAAUCCCGUAUUUGACCAUUUCUUCCAGCUGUGUGAUACACUUUCAAAGAGUCGGAUUGUUUGGGAAUGCAGUCCAAAAUGGGUGGUAAAUUUCAUCUAAAGCUAAAUAUUGGCGAGAGACCGAUAGCGAACAAGUACCGUGAGGGAAAGAUGAAAAGAACUUUGAAAAGAGAGUUAAACAGUACGUGAAAUUGUCAAAAGGGAAGCGUUUGACACCAGUGUUGUUUUCUCGAAAAUCAAUUAAAAAAGAUUGGAUUUUGUGUUGUAUUGACUUUAUCAGCUUUCUGCACCCUUUUCUUGUCUUUUUUAAUGCACUUUUCGUUUAACAAGUCAACAUCAAUUUCUUUUGUUGUAAAAGGGUCAUUGGAAGGUGGCUUUCUUUUCGGAGAAAGUGUUUAUAGCCUUUGACUUCUGCAAUCGGAGAGAUUGAGGUCUGCAGCGUAGAUCCUUCGGGGUUAGAUACAUUUGUGCUAAGCUAUAGCCUUUCAUAGACAACUUGUUGACUAUGAUCAGUCAUGUAGCUUACUCGCUUAUGCUAUUUUACCUACGCUUAGGAUGUUGACGAUCAGCUGAGCGCG
rnacentral:rRNA from 1 species